GCCUGUUCGAGCGUCAUUAACACCACUCAAGCCUGGCUUGGUAUUGGGGUUCGCACACCAGCGGCCCUUAAAUAUAGUGGCGGUGCCGGUUGGCUCUUCGCGUAGUACAUCUCUCGCGAUAGGGUCUGCCGGUGGCUUGCCAGCAACCCCAAUCUUUACAGGUUGACCUCGGAUCAGGUAGGGAUACCCGCUGAACUUAA
rnacentral:misc_RNA from 1 species